CUGCAGUGUGAACAAGGCUUUAGUCUCACAUCGACCUCUACAUGCAACAGCAUUAUUAUACAACUCGAACCAGUAGUCCUUCCAGAAGAUCAGUAACUCUAGCAGAGGUCCAGUAGUUCUUCCCUAAGAGCAGUAACUCUAGCAGAGGUCCAAUAGUGCUUCCAGAAGAGCAGUAACUCUAGCAGAAGUCCAAUAGUCCUUCCAGAAGAGCAGUAACUCUAGCAGAAGUCCAGUAGUCCUUCCAGAAGAGCAGUAAUUCUAGCAGAGGUCCAAUAGUCCUUCCCGAAGAGCAGUAACUCUAGCAGAGGUCAAAUAGUUAUUCCAGAAGAGCAGUAACUCUAGCAGAGGUCCAAUAGUC
ensembl:lncRNA